rnacentral:rRNA from 1 species
AGUGGCAGACGGGUGAGUAACGCGUGGGAACGUACCUUUUGGUUCGGAACAACACAGGGAAACUUGUGCUAAUACCGGAUAAGCCCUUACGGGGAAAGAUUUAUCGCCGAAAGAUCGGCCCGCGUCUGAUUAGCUAGUUGGUGAGGUAAUGGCUCACCAAGGCGACGAUCAGUAGCUGGUCUGAGAGGAUGAUCAGCCACAUUGGGACUGAGACACGGCCCAAACUCAUACGGGAGGCAGCAGUGGGGAAUAUUGGACAAUGGGCGAAAGCCUGAUCCAGCCAUGCCGCGUGAGUGAUGAAGGCCCUAGGGUUGUAAAGCUCUUUUGUGCGGGAAGAUAAUGACGGUACCGCAAGAAUAAGCCCCGGCUAACUUCGUGCCAGCAGCCGCGGUAAUACGAAGGGGGCUAGCGUUGCUCGGAAUCACUGGGCGUAAAGGGUGCGUAGGCGGGUUUCUAAGUCAGAGGUGAAAGCCUGGAGCUCAACUCCAGAACUGCCUUUGAUACUGGAAGUCUUGAGUAUGGCAGAGGUGAGUGGAACUGCGAGUGUAGAGGUGAAAUUCGUAGAUAUUCGCAAGAACACCAGUGGCGAAGGCGGCUCACUGGGCCAUUACUGACGCUGAGGCACGAAAGCGUGGGGAGCAAACAGGAUUAGAUACCCUGGUAGUCCACGCCGUAAAC